CCCAGACACUGUUAGACCACUAUACAGACCCAGGGAGUCCUGUAUAAAUCAACCUGUGAAAGCCCUGUAUGGAGUCACAGACACUGUUAGACCACUAUACAGACCCAGGGAGUCCUGUAAAUCAUCCUGUGAAAACCCUGCAUGGAGUCACAGACACUGUUAGACCACUAUACAGACCCAGGGAGUCCUGUAUAACUCAACCUGUGAAAACCCUGUAUGGGGUCACAGACACUGUUAGACCACUAUACAGACCCAGGGAGUCCUGUAUAAAUCAACCUGUGAAAACCCUGUAUGGGGUCACAGACACUGUUAGACCACUAUACAGACCCAGGGAGUCCUGUAUAAAUCAACCUGUGAAAGCCCUGUAUGGAGUCACAGACACUGUUAGACCACUAUACAGACCCAGGGAGUCCUGUAAAUCAUCCUGUGAAAACCCUGCAUGGAGUCACAGACACUGUUAGACCACUAUACAGACCCAGGGAGUCCUGUAAAUCAACCUGUGAAAACCCUGUAUGGGGUCACAGAC
rnacentral:lncRNA from 13 species